AACGAACGCUGGCGGCAUGCCUAACACAUGCAAGUCGAACGGGUACCUUCGGGUGCUAGUGGCGCACGGGUGCGUAACGCGUGGGAAUCUGCCCUUGGGUUCGGAAUAACUCAGCGAAAGCUGUGCUAAUACCGGAUGAUGUCGAAAGACCAAAGAUUUAUCGCCCGAGGAUGAGCCCGCGUUGGAUUAGCUAGUUGGUGGGGUAAAGGCCUACCAAGGCGACGAUCCAUAGCUGGUCUGAGAGGAUGAUCAGCCACACUGGGACUGAGACACGGCCCAGACUCCUACGGGAGGCAGCAGUGGGGAAUGUUGGACAAUGGGCGAAAGCCUGAUCCAGCAAUGCCGCGUGAGUGAUGAAGGCCUUAGGGUUGUAAAGCUCUUUUACCCGGGAUGAUAAUGACAGUACCGGGAGAAUAAGCUCCGGCUAACUCCGUG
rnacentral:rRNA from 1 species